GUCGGCGCGGGCGGGCGGGCUGGCAGCCGGGCGGUGAUCGCCCCCUGCGCCUCGGGACGCGCACAGCAGGCCGCCCCCCCCCCCCGCUCCCCGCCCCGCCCCCCGCACCUGUGCGCCCCGCCCCCGCCUCCCCCCGCCCCCCGCCCCCGGGGCUCCCGCGGGGUCCCGGCCUGCGCCCUCCGGGGGGGACCCCCGCGCCGCCCCCGCACCUCCCAGCCCCGCGCUGCGGCUGCGGCCCGCCUCUGGGAGCGGGGCGCGCCGGGCGGGGAGGAGCCGGGGCGGGGCGGGGCGCGGAGGAGGGAGGGGCGGGGGGGCCGCAGCCAGUCCGCAGCCGGCGGGGCCGGGUUCGCCCAGACGCGCGCGCCCGCAGCCGAGCUCGGGCCGGGACCGCCGCCGGGAGGGGGACCCCGCGGCCCGGAGCGCUGCUGCCCGGAGGCCCUCGGCGCCGCGGGCCCGGGAGGAUGCGCGCCGCCCCCCGCACGGCGGCCCCGGGCCUGGGCGAGCCUGCGCCGCGGGAGCGCGCCCUGCAGCCCCUGCAGCCCCUGCAGCCCCCGCCGCCCGCCCCCGCCCCGCCCCGCGCGCCGCGCGCCCUGAGCCCCCCGCGCCCCCCCCGCCCCCCGCCCCCGCUCGGCCCGCCCCGCCCCGCCCCGCCCGCCCGCCCGAGCCCGCGCCCGCGCCCCGGCUUCCGAAACUACGGGACCAAGUGCCGCCGGGACUGCGGGAGCCGCGCCGGGGACCCAGGGUGUUCGGUUUCUGUUCCAAGAAAAAGUUGAAGUGGAGAGAUAAUCAGGUACCCAGAGGCUCCAGCAGCGGUGUCCUCCCUUCUCGAUGGUGUUUCUGA
rnacentral:lncRNA from 1 species